GGACUUUCAAAUUAAAUAAUGAUUCCGUAAAAUCUUUUUCUAUCUAUGGCUUUUAUCCAUUCAGUCUUCCUUUCCAAUUUUAAGCGUCAUCUCACCCUCAUCGAGUUGCGGAAAGAAACUAGUUUACUAUAAAAAAAGAACAAACAUGGUUAGUGGUUUCUAAAUCAAGUAUCUAGGCAUUUUGGUCCUUUUUCACUAAACAAGUUUCUAAAACAAGUAAAUCAUAUUUAUCUUCCUUUUUCUUCUUUUUCUCAAUAAGGUAUUUGGGGAAAUUUCUCUUCUAAUGUCCAUCCACAUUGCAGUGGAAGCACUUCACCUUGGCGACUAACUUAGCCUUCCUUUUGCCUUUAGCAGCAGCAUCAGGACCCUUCGUUUUCCCUAAUUUUCCCUCAUUUUUCCUCAUUUCUUCUUCUAGAUUUUCUUAGUCCCGCAAAAUGAAGGUGCAGACUUAGUUUCAAAGGAUGAACCCUUUUGAAACAUCCUGGAAUGGGCAACGUUUUGCCUCUCCUUCUUUUCGUCCCUUAUUUUUCAUAAAAGACUGAAAAGUCUAUAACUCGUUUAUGAGGAUAGUCAUGUUGUAAUCUAUCUUGUUCUGUAACGAUCCAACUCUUUAUUCUAAGUUGGGGGUCAUUACUUUAAAGAUAAAUAACAAUUUUGACAAUUUCUUGAAAAGAAGAAAACUAAAUUUUGAUUAAAAAUACCAUGAAAACAUGUUGUGCGGCUAGUUCUACAAUUUUAAAGAUAAUAAAAAUAAAUAGAUAAAAAUGUUUAAGCUCAAAACACUGAAAAUGAACAAUGAAAAGCGGAAGCAAAAUUAUGUCUCCAUAUGGCAUGUCACAAAUCUUUCUUGUGGCUUCCCAACUUUUUUCUAUUUUUACCUUUUCCUGAAAUGUUAAAUAUAAAAAAAGAUGAGUAUAAACAUAUACUCAGUAAGGGACCCAUUACUAGUUUUACUAGGUGUCAGUUAACUUUCCAUUAACGUUUCAUAAGGAGUACCCUAAAAUUAUUGUGCUCCCGAACACACACUAUUCAGUGAUCCCAUAGGAACACAUCUAAGUUCUCAAUAAACCCAAAUGAAAUACCUAAGAGAAAUUGGGUGUAAGUAUCCCCGUCAAACCACUCAUAAAACAUGACAUGACAGACUAGCAGUUUCGUCGAACUCACAUCAGUCAUAAAAAGAAACAUAUCAUGAGAGGCUAGUGGUUUCGUCGAACUCACAUCAGUCAUAAAAAAAUGUGGUGAUCCCGAGGGACACCUAUAUGAGUACGACCCUAAUAGACAAAUAUAACAUAACACUUAUCCAUAGCAUGUAAGAUAUCAUAAACAUCAUAAAUCUGACAUGAGUAUCAAUUAUAACGUCCUUAUCAUGUGAUUAUAAUAAUUCACACAUCAUAACAUAGUCAUAUCAGUUAUAACAUAUCAGCCAUAUUGGUCAUAUCAAUCAUAACAUCUCAGCCUUCCAUAUCAGUCUCAUUAUCCAUCUUAGCUACAUCAAUGCAUAAUGAAAAAUACAUGCAAACUUUUAAUUUUAUUUUCGAAAGUCUAGUAGUAGAAUCUCUUUAUUACCUUAGAUAUUAGCCAAACAAAAUACUCUUUAGCCAAUAGUUAAAAUUCUCCAAUUAAAUCAAUCUUAAUUAUAAAAGGAAAUUUCACUAUCUUCGUUAAUAAAAUUAACAAUUGACUAUGAUCCAAAAAUUCUCCCAAAUGAACUUAUCCAAAAUUGAGGUUGAAACCAAUUCAAGCUAAAUAAAAUUAACUUUAUUUUUUCAACUAAAUAAAAUUCACAAUCUCUUUCUUCAAUUAAAUCUCCCAUCAAAUCAACUUUUAUCUUUCCAAAAUAAUUAUCUUUUCCAAAAAUUAUAUGUUUCCACAAUAUAAUUAUUUUAUUUUCUCUUCACAAAUAUCAUUUCUUCAAAUAAUUAUUCUUCAAUGUCUUAAACUCAAAAUUAAUCUUGACAGCGGAAUGACUUCAAUAAAAUUUCUUUACUACGUACAAAACAAAUCCUUCUCCUUAAAAACCAACUCAUUCUUAAUAUUGGUAAUAUCAACAUUUUUAUUGUUAAUUCACCUGCCAAAUCAGUCUCAACUAUGGAAGAAGAAGUUGAAGAAUCAAUUAAACAUCCAAAACUAUAUAUAUAAAAUGAGCAACUAAAGGAUAUUGGGCAGAUUGAUCUUUAAUUAAUAUAAAAAACUAAGUCACAUCUUUAUCUUCAACAAUCUUAAGAACAUGAUGAGCAUCAUUACUACCUAUAGGCAACAAAACUUAAAGUUCUAUACAUUAUUCAACUUGAAUUUUGGUACGUAUCAAGUUCACACAAAAAAGAAUCAAAUGAUGAUAUCACUCCAUCAUCCAAAACACAAUUUAUUUUGUAAUCCACAUAGCACUGUCGCUCAUCCAUUGACCACGUGAAAAACAAUUACUGCAAGUUUAACUAUAACUACAAUGAACUGCAACAAUUUUAGGAAAAUAAAAAAUAGCUGUAAAGUGUAUUAGUCAACUAAUACAUAUAAUAAUAUAAGUAUAUCAUAUCAUUGAUAUAACAAACUAAUACAGAUUUAUAAAAUAAAAAAAAUAGAACCAAACAUAAAUAAAUAAAACAAAGCUAUGCAAAUCAAAUAAAAAAAAGUUGAGGAAGAACAAAUCCCCUUUCGAUAAAAGAGAUGAGAAACAAAUAAAAAAAGUUGAGGAAGAACAAAUUGUAGCCUUAAUUUCAGAUAGAUGAUGACCGAUUCACAGAAGAAGAAAAAAAAAUGAUGAUUAAAGUCCCUUACCAAUUUCGGACACCAAAAUAUAGGAAAGAAUAUUAGGGCUUUAAAAGAGAAUAUAGGAAGAAAUACAUACCUAAAAAAGAACCGUGGAGAAGAGAGUAGAAGAACGUAGCAAAUAGGAAAAACAAAAAAUGGUGAAGAUUGAAGGAGUGAGAGAAGACCAAAAUUUAUAAAAGAUUAUGUAAAGUUAUCACUCACCCUUUUUGUAACUUUCUUCCCACCAAAUUAGGGGGAGUUUCAUCCAUUUUUUUCACCUAUCUAAAACAACCAUAUUUUCUCACAUAGUUUAGACACAACCAAAUAAUAGGUGGGUUUAAAUCUUAUUUUUAUCUUCUAUCUUGGUCUUUUUGAAACUUUUAAAACGUCUAUUUCUUGAUUUUAAAGUAGACUCUACUUUAGUCCUUACAAUUAAAAUUUCAUUAAUGAUAAAAUAGC
rnacentral:lncRNA from 1 species